rnacentral:piRNA from 1 species
UAUGGCAUCAAAGCAUUAUAAAAUAUGU